rnacentral:rRNA from 1 species
UAGGGAAUCUUCGGCAAUGGACGAAAGUCUGACCGAGCAACGCCGCGUGAGUGAAGAAGGUUUUCGGAUCGUAAAACUCUGUUGUUAGAGAAGAACAAGGACGUUAGUAACUGAACGUCCCCUGACGGUAUCUAACCAGAAAGCCACGGCUAACUACGUGCCAGCAGCCGCGGUAAUACGUAGGUGGCAAGCGUUGUCCGGAUUUAUUGGGCGUAAAGCGAGCGCAGGCGGUUUCUUAAGUCUGAUGUGAAAGCCCCCGGCUCAACCGGGGAGGGUCAUUGGAAACUGGGAGACUUGAGUGCAGAAGAGGGGAGUGGAAUUCCAUGUGUGGCGGUGAAAUGCGUAGAUAUAUGGAGGAACACCAGUGGCGAAGGCGGAUCUCUGGUCUGUAACUGACGCUGAGGCUCGAAAGCGUGGGGAGCAAACAGG